AUUGAACGCUGGCGGCAUGCCUUACACAUGCAAGUCGAACGGCAGCACGGGUGCUUGCACCUGGUGGCGAGUGGCGAACGGGUGAGUAAUACAUCGGAACAUGUCCUGUAGUGGGGGAUAGCCCGGCGAAAGCCGGAUUAAUACCGCAUACGAUCUACGGAUGAAAGCGGGGGACCUUCGGGCCUCGCGCUAUAGGGUUGGCCGAUAGCUGAUUAGCUAGUUGGUGGGGUAAAGGCCUACCAAGGCGACGAUCAGUAGCUGGUCUGGGAGGACGACCAGCCACACUGGGACUGAGACACGGCCCAGACUCCUACGGGAGGCAGCAGUGGGGAAUUUUGGACAAUGGGCGAAAGCCUGAUCCAGCAAUGCCGCGUGUGUGAAGAAGGCCUUCGGGUUGUAAAGCACUUUUGUCCGGAAAGAAAUCCUUGGCUCUAAUACAGUCGGGGGAUGACGGUACCGGAAGAAUAAGCACCGGCUAACUACGUG
rnacentral:rRNA from 1 species